rnacentral:tRNA from 1 species
UCCCUGGUGGUCCAGUGGUUAAGACUCCACACUCCAAAUGCAGGGGGCAUGGGUUCAACCCCUGGUCAGGGAA